UCUCAAUCUUUCGGACGUGCU
rnacentral:siRNA from 1 species